UUGGUAUUCUCAAACGUGUCAGAAAAAUUAGACAUAUAGUUGGUUAUAAUGUUUGAGCGAUGUCUCAUUCCAACCCGGUUCUCAAAAAGAUCUCUAUUUGUUUUGGUUAAUAUAUCACUUGGAUUACUUCUUAGUUUUCAUUUAUUAUUCACUAAAAAAAUUGAAGUAGAUAAACUUAUCAAAAAUUUUAUCACUUUGCCGCAAAAUAAAAUAGAUAUCAUUGAUUUAAGUAGUUGGCCGAUUGAAAAGAAUACUUAUCCAAAUUUGAUUGAAAAAUUCAGUGUUCCUAGAAAAAAUAGCUCUCAUCUUCCUAGAAAAAUGUUUAAAAAAGACUAUGACACGUUAAUGCAACUCUUAAAUUUGUCUCUGUCAGUUUUGGAUGAAAAUGACAUUCCUUACACUGUUAGUGCUGGCGGACUUGUGGGUUCAUACGUCAUGCACGACUUGUUACCAUGGGACGACGAUAUGGAUAUCAUGAUAAAUUACGAAACGAAAGAAAAAGUUAUUCAUCUGUUCCAAGAUGACAGACACCACGGGAUCAAGGGACUUCUGACUCGUCAAUGGAACGGAGUGUUCAUGAAGCUUUUCUUUACAAAUUCCGUCAAAACAGGUAACAGACCUUGGAAGUGGCCCUUCAUUGAAUCUGAGCCUUAUAUUGAAGAGGACAACCAGAUCAAAUUAUUUAACAGGAGUGACCAUAAUAUAUCAUGGCCUCGCGAUUCCUACUUCCCCACCCAUCGCCGUCCUUUUGGGCCCCUAUGGCUCAAAUUCCCACGAGACCCCAGAGGAUAUCUGCUCGCCCAUUACAAAAACCCCUUUCAGUGCAAAACUUCAACUUGGGCUCACAAAGAGGA